UACGGAGGGGGCAAGCGUUGUUCGGAAUUACUGGGCGUAAAGCGCGCGUAGGCGGCGAUGCAAGUCAGAGGUGAAAUGCCCGGGCUCAACCUGGGAGGUGCCUUUGAUACUGUGUUGCUUGGAUCCAGGAGAGGUGAGCGGAAUUCCGAGUGUAGAGGUGAAAUUCGUAGAUAUUCGGAAGAACACCAGUGGCGAAGGCGGCCACCUGGCACAGUACUGACGCUGAGGCGCGAAAGCGUGGGGAGCAAACAGGAUUAGAUACCCGUGUAGUCC
rnacentral:rRNA from 1 species